rnacentral:rRNA from 1 species
UACGAAGGGGGCUAGCGUUGCUCGGAAUGACUGGGCGUAAAGGGCGCGUAGGCGGUUUGCACAGUCGGGCGUGAAAUUCCAGGGCUCAACCUUGGGGCUGCGUUCGAGACGUGUGGGCUAGAGUGUGGAAGAGGGUCGUGGAAUUCCCAGUGUAGAGGUGAAAUGCGCAGAUAUCAGGAAGAACACCCGUGGCGAAGGCGGCUCUCUGGGACGGUACUGACGCUGAGACGCGAAAGCGUGGGGAGCGAACAGG